GAAUUCAACUCCUACGGGAGGCAGCAGUAGGGAAUAUUGGGCAAUGGCCGAGAGGCUGACCCAGCCAUGCCGCGUGCAGGAUGAAGGCUUUCUGAGUCGUAAACUGCUUUUGCCAGGGAAGAAAAAAAGGUAUGCGUACUUUACUGACGGUACCUGGUGAAUAAGCACCGGCUAACUCCGUGCCAGCAGCCGCGGUAAUACGGAGGGUGCAAGCGUUGUCCGGAUUUAUUGGGUUUAAAGGGUGCGUAGGCGGCCAUUUAAGUCUGGGGUGAAAGCCCGUUGCUCAACAACGGAACUGCCCUGGAAACUGGAUGGCUUGAGUACAGACGAGGGUGGCGGAAUGGAUGCUGUAGCGGUGAAAUGCAUAGAUAGCAUCCAGAACCCCGAUUGCGAAGGCAGCUGCCUAGACUGUAACUGACGCUGAGGCACGAAAGCGUGGGGAGCGAACAGGAUUAGAAACCCGAGUAGUCCAGGCGUU
rnacentral:rRNA from 1 species